AAUGAUCCUUUAAACUUUGCUGAUACUAAAGCAAACAGUAAAUUUCUGUUGAACUGGAAAAUGAUUUAAUCCAGUGACAUGCAAGCAAGUCUAACGACAUCUACUUGAAGGACAAAAUGCAGAUUAAUAGUCCCAUAACUUCAAGCGCUCCUAUUUCCUGGACUGUGAAAACAGAAGCACAUGCAUCGGGUUGCGUCUCAACUAAACAGGUACUGGGUCUCACUUCCUUUAAUCCUUAUGGCUGUGCCAGGAGCAACUCUAGGCAUCCCCAGCAGAGACUCACAGUGAUGUAGACGGUAACUGCCGUGGCUGUGUCAUGGUGAAGGCCUUUCCCUCUGGGUAGCAGCUCUACCAGUGAAGGCUCAGCCUACUUCCAGAAAGUUCUGUCACUUGCAAUUAGGAAGAACCCAGGUCUGCUUGUUUUAAAAUGUCGAUCUCACCUCUAUUUCAAGCUCUAUUCUUCU
rnacentral:lncRNA from 1 species